rnacentral:rRNA from 1 species
UACGUAGGGGGCUAGCGUUGUCCGGAGUUACUGGGCGUAAAGCGCUUGUAGGCGGUCCACCAAGUUUGGGGUGACAGUUGCCGACUUAAUCGGCAAAGUGCCUCAAAGACUGGCGGACUUGAGGGCCACAGAGGGACAUGGAACUCCAGGUGUAGUGGUGAAAUGCGUAGAUAUCUGGAAGAACACCAAAGGCGAAGGCAGUGUCCUGGGUGGUCGCUGACGCUGAGAGGCGAAAGCCAGGGGAGCGAACGGG